CUGAAUCAGUAUUCAUCGCAGCUGUUUCUCGGCUUAAUCCAAGUUUGAAGAAAACUGAAAGUAAAUCACUGCCUAGACGCAUAGCAAAUCUUUUCACGGAAACAUACUGCGAGUGAACUGAAAUUACUCGACAUUGACUAAUGUCUUCAAGUUAGUGGACCCAGAUCCUGCAUAGAGACUAUUUUAAUCAUUAAAUUAUUCGGGGAUUUUCUGGCUAAUACCUGUGCUUACAUAUAUAUGUUUUGACUUAAAGGUAAUAAUUACAUACACAUAUCUGUUUUGGUAAGUUAAAAAAAAUUAAAUAAAAAUUAAUAUAUAUGCAUAAAAGCCUUUAUAAUUGCCAAUGCUAGCCAAGAAUAUAUGGCUUAUUCCAACUCAAUCACGAACUUGUUUAAAAAAAGAUUUUUCUUGUAAACGAUGUUUGGAACAAGGCAAGGUAUUUGAAAAACUGUGAAUAAAUUGCAAUAAAUUAAAAAAAAUAAAAAGCAGUAAAAAAUAUUUAUCAUAACCUAAUAGGAUUAUUAUGAAAAUACUGCGUUGAAAAUUUGUUCUGUAAAGAGAUUCUUACUUUGAUACUAUACAAAGCAAUUGGAACCUCUAGAGCCUGUCUCAUAUCUUCCAACUUGAUUUGUUUUAAUACGUAUACCAGAUAAUUUCCUAGGUGACUAAAAUAAUAAAAUUAGACGUGCAAAGAAGAAACAAAAAAUUCAAAAUGCGGAGAUAAAUGUAUUUUUUUAAACAAAUCCUACAGUAGUUAUUAUAUGUACAAAAGUUACUCUUUCACUCUUUAUUACUUCUACUUGAUAUAGUUUUUUUCUAUUCCUUCGCAGCAAUUAUUCCAACUGAUAUUUGUCACAUGCUAAUUUUUUU